AUGGAGAAGACGAGCUUCGGCAAAAACAACAACAUUUGUUUUUCACGGUGGCCCAAAGGGUUUGUAUUUUUGGAUAACAACAAGCUUUUUAGAGGACUACUACCAUGCUACAGGGAAAAUCGAAUACACAUCUUUUUUUACACAUGUGGAGUCUUGAUUCAUCACUACGCUAUGUUGAAAACUUUCCUGCAUUCUGGUGUGGUUUCAUGUGCAGGACUAAGAAAUAGCUUGCUCAAAGACAUUACAUCAGACACAGGUAUGCACGAGCUGUGUGCAAUAGGUUUAAUUAGUAAAAAAGUUUAAAUGGUAAAAUUAUUGAUUGGUUCUUGGAUGACCACACGUCAUUGACCAGCAAUACUAGCGAUUGUUUAACUUAAAUACAACUGAUAAACUUAAAGCCCUUAUCAAGAUAUUACUAACACGACUUCACAACCUUGACUCAGAAGAACUUACGGGUAUGUUUAAUGCUGCAAAGCACUAGAAAUAAAAAGCUCCAAAUGCUACACUUUGUUUCUUAUCAGCAAAACUGUGUGUAUGCAAAAAUAAAACACAGAUUUCCUCUAUGAAAAACAUAUUUAUAUUUGAAACAAGUUGAUAAUAUGGGCCAUCUCCACUGCGAGAAAAAAGCGAUUAGCAAACAUACAAAAACAUGAGGAAUUGAAGAUAGAACUGAUUAAACAAAUGGCUGGCAAGCUUUAAAAAAAGGAAGAAAAAGAAAGAAAAAAUUUUGAAAAGAUUUUAAUAAUUUGUAUACCUCAGCAAAUAAAACUACUGUUUCCUGAUUUAGAAAAUAAUGAGGCUGCAGAUAUUAAAGACAUUCUUUUUGGUGAUGUUAUUCAACGAAAUAUCUACCACAUGUGGUAUGAUUCUGCCUUCAACAGUCAGGAAAUCUACAACAACCAAUUUCUUAGAUUUAAAAAAAAGAUGUAUUUCUUACUUUAAACCAAAUGAGUGUGAGGACGAGGAUGCUUUUGAGUAUGAUAUAAAUAAAUAUCAACUGUCUGCAGAUAUCAUAUGUGGUAAUUUAGUGUUAUCAUGAAUAAAUUGUAACAUGGGUGUGAUGUGUGCAAGUUGUUAAAUCAUAAAGUAUAUUAAUGUUGGUAAUAUAUAAAUAUAUACUUUUGUUUUUAAACAUUGUUUAGAGUAUUUAGCCUUUUAACUCUGAAUAAUAUAGGUGCUUAGAGUUAGUAUAUGAUUUAAACUUAUGUAAUUCAGUUUAAUAAAAAUCAACUGCUAUUAUGUGUUAUUUAAAUAUAUAGAAUAAUGUAAAGGAUAAUAUGAUUGCAUACUAAUUAUAUUAUGUAAGUAUAUUUUGUAGUAUAUUAAUUCAAGUAAAAUGCUUUUGUUAUAUUGAAUUUGAUUUAGAGAAGUUAAAAGUUAGUUUAAUUUAAUUUAUUAGUUUGCUCAUGGAUGUUUUGCCACCAAUUUCACAUAAUUGAACUAUUAUUAUAUCAAUUAUUUUUCUGUCAUCAUUUUCAUUUAUAUACAGGGCUCAAUUUAACAGUCCUAUAUCGCCCUCCCUUAGACCAUUCUUGAAACCUGCUAGAGGAGGGCAACAAACCAUUGUUAAUUUUUUGCAUAAAAAUGAACAACGGUAGGUUGCCUCCAUAAGUCAGAUAUUAAAAACAGUCUGGGGGGAGGGGCAGUGAUGUCUGAAUGUUAAACUAAACCCUGUAUAUAUUAGAUUCAUUUUAGGUAUCACUGCAAAAUUUUGAUUCAGAACACAGAGCUUUAACAAGAUGAUAUGCAUCUUUGGACUUCUUUCUAUUAGGCAACUAAACUCUUCAAAAAAGAAAACAGCUAUUUUCAUAACCACUAUUCUUUUUUUUUUUUUUUUACAUUUUGUAUAAAUUUAACUGAAAAAAAAACUUUUAUAUUUUAUGUCUAAAUGCUUACAAAACGAAGGGGGCAGGUAAAUUUUCUCCCAGCUGCCUCAUGUGAAAUUUUAGUAUAUAUUUUUUUUACAUCUCUAAAAACUUUUCUAAUUUAGAUAAGAAAUAACAAUACAGCAAUUUAGCCAGUAAAAAAUUCUAAAAUUGGUCACAGUUUUCGUAAGUAAUCCUUGUACUCAAAUUGUCACUUAAAUGUUCAUUACUUUUUAUAGAAUCAUCUAAUUUUGAUAAAACUUUCACCAUUGUAUUAAAUAAAAACUCUUUCUAAAGAUACAUAUCUUAGUAUUUAAAUAUUUUGAAAUUUUUACACACAUACCUACAUUGCAGGGGCGUAUGCAACAAAGUGAUAUGGUCCAGCAAUUAAAAAUUGAACACAAUCAUGAUAUUGUCAAUUGGAUUCCCAAAAAUUUAAUAUUAAAAUUUAAUUACAAGUACAUUUUUAACAAGUCUUUUUGUAAAAGCAAGUCUAGAUUUAACUUUCUCCAACAGAGCAAUCGAUCCACGGAAUAGCUUACAAGCAAAAUUAUAGAACUUCUAUUAUUUAACUUGUUCUUGAAUUGAUCGGUUGAGUCCGCUUCUAUUAGAAGCUGAUUCAAUUGAUCAAUUUAAGAUCUAUCUACACUAAUUGUUUAGAUAUAUUAUAAAGAAACAAUAAUUCUUCAAAAACUAACAAUAGCUGUUAUAGAAAAAUAUAUAUUAUUAGUGUACUCUUCUACAUCGGAUUCUCAGUUGUUACAGC
rnacentral:lncRNA from 1 species